GCAAGUCGAACGCUUUGUGGUCCAACUGAUUUGAAGAGCUUGCUCAGAUAUGACGAUGGACAUUGCAAAGAGUGGCGAACGGGUGAGUAACACGUGGGAAACCUACCUCUUAGCAGGGGAUAACACUUGGAAACAAGUGCUAAUACCGUAUAACACUAAUAACCGCAUGGUUAUUAGUUAAAAGAUGGUCUUGCUAUCACUAAGAGAUGGUCCCGCGGUGUAUUAGCUAGUUGGUAAGGUAAUGGCUUACCAAGGCAAUGAUACAUAGCCGAGUUGAGAGACUGAUCGGCCACAAUGGGACUGAGACACGGCCCAUACUCCUACGGGAGGCAGCAGUAGGGAAUCUUCCACAAUGGACGAAAGUCUGAUGGAGCAACGCCGCGUGUGUGAUGAAGGGUUUCGGCUCGUAAAACACUGUUGUAAGAGAAGAAUGACAUUGAGAGUAACUGUUCAGUGUGUGACGGUAUCUUACCAGAAAGGAACGGCUAAAUACGUGCCAGCAGCCGCGGUAAUACGUAUGUUCCAAGCGUUAUCCGGAUUUAUUGGGCGUAAAGCGAGCGCAGACGGUUAUUUAAGUCCGAAGUGAAAGCCCACAGCUUAACUGUGGAAGUGCUUUGGAAACUGGAUAACUUGAGUGCAGUAGAGGAGAGUGGAACUCCAUGUGUAGCGGUGAAAUGCGUAGAUAUAUGGAAGAACACCAGUGGCGAAGGCGGCUCUCUGGACUGUAACUGACGUUGAGGCUCGAAAGUGUGGGUAGCAAACAGGAUUAGAUACCCUGGUAGUCCACACCGUAGACGAUGAGUGCUAGAUGUUUGAGGGUUUCCGCCCUUAAGUGUCGCAGCUCACGCAUUAAGCACUCCGCCUGGCGAGUACGACCGCAAGGUUGAGACUCAUAGGAAUUGACGGGGACCCGCACAAGCAGUGGAGCGUGUGGUUUAAUUCGAAGCAACGCGGAGACCUUAACAGGUCUUGACUUCGUUGACACUUCAGAGAUGAAGCUAUACCUUCUGGUAUAAGUGACGGUGAUGCAGGGUGUCGUCAAGCCUGUCCUCACCUGUGGGGUAGGUCCGCGAGUACCGCCACCCUCUUGGGGGUUGAAAGAAUCACGUGGCGCCCUUCUGGGAGGGGGG
rnacentral:rRNA from 1 species